UACGAAGGGGGCUAGCGUUGCUCGGAAUCACUGGGCGUAAAGCGCACGUAGGCGGAUCGUUAAGUCAGAGGUGAAAUCCUGGAGCUCAACUCCAGAACUGCCUUUGAUACUGGCGAUCUUGAGUUCGAGAGAGGUGAGUGGAACUGCGAGUGUAGAGGUGAAAUUCGUAGAUAUUCGGAAGAACACCAGUGGCGAAGGCGGUCAACUGGCCCGUAACUGACGCUGAGGCACGAAAGCGUGGGGAGCGAACAGG
rnacentral:rRNA from 1 species